rnacentral:lncRNA from 1 species
UUUUUUAUUUUUAGUAUUUUUUGAAAGGUUAAUUUUAAGAGUCAUUUUAUCUUUUUGGAUUAACAAUUAUGCAUCAACUAAAAAUAUAAUAAAAUAAACUAAAAAAUAAAGCAAAUAAAAAAUUAAAAAUAAAAGAAAAGAAAUAAUAAAAGGGAGGGGAUAUACUAUCAAUACAAGAGGUAAAAUAAUUAAAAACUAAAGAAAAUAAAUGAAAAAACAAAAAUAAAUAAAGCAAUAAUAAGAAAGCAAUAAAUAAAAAAUAUACAAAA